UACGUAGGGUGCAAGCGUUAAUCGGAAUUACUGGGCGUAAAGCGUGCGCAGGCGGUUGUGCAAGACAGAUGUGAAAUCCCCGGGCUCAACCUGGGAAUUGCAUUUGUGACUGCACGGCUAGAGUGUGUCAGAGGGGGGUAGAAUUCCACGUGUAGCAGUGAAAUGCGUAGAGAUGUGGAGGAAUACCGAUGGCGAAGGCAGCCCCCUGGGUUAACACUGACGCUCAGGCACGAAAGCGUGGGGAGCAAACAGG
rnacentral:rRNA from 1 species